CUUCAACCAUGGUGUCCCUUUGGAGGACACGGCGGAGGAACUGCGGCUAUGGCCACGCAAGCCAUAUAUAUACCCUCUGGGGAGGAGGGGCGGGGCCAUAGCCCUCUAAUUGAAAACAGCUGUUAAAGGUUCCGAACUAGCUGCACACGUGCAACUAACUACCACAUGUGCGGAUUUCACAGAUGACCACUCAGAGAACCACAGUUACAGGUAAGCAACUAUUUGUUUUCUGCCUACUCAAAUAACUUUUCAUGUUAAUACAUUGAUGCCUUGGUUUAGUCUAGGGAGAAGAGGAUUGAGAUCUACACUCAAAGUAGCUUGAAAUCACCUGGGCAGCAUUUAUCAACAUUAUUGAAUCAGAUCCAUCAGAGCCGGAUGAAUGAACUAGAAAACUUCCACAAGAUUAUUAUCCAGGAACUUGCCAAUCUUGAGAAGAGAACACAGUUUCUCUUGAGUCUUGAGAAAGAGGCAGUGGAUACAAUCCAUGGAUGAACUGCUGGAUGAACCCACAGAGAACUUGGACAACACAGGCCAAAAUUAUCAGAAAGAAGAAGAUAAUCAGGAACAGAGAGGCCAACAUGAUGUUGUUGAUUCCAAUUGAUUAAAAUUACACAAUCACAUUUUUGAAAAAGACACUGAAUAAAUUACUUUCACUUUUUGUUCAACGUUAUGUG
rnacentral:lncRNA from 11 species